rnacentral:lncRNA from 1 species
GUGGCCUGCCCCGCCCCGGAGGCCGAGCUUCCCACCUCAUGACUAUUCAGUGAGGCGUGGCCACGUCCCUCGGCGCGCUCCGCGGCGACCGGGGAGAAGUGCGCGGAGCCGGUCGGAACCAUCUGUGGCCUAGGCAGGGAAUGAGGAAUGUACCAUCUGAGGCCCCGGCCGCGCAGGGCGUCAGGCGCAGACUGUCCACGCGCGGUUAGACGCUCUUUGGGUGCAGACUCCCGCCCUUCCCGCCGCCUUGCUGCCGGAGUUCUGCUGCCCAGGUCUCCCUGGGCCCCCGUUAGAAAAGGGAUAUAAACAAGGGACAGACCAAUGGGGGUAUGGUAACACGUGUCUCUUCUACGUAGGAGGAGGAACUCAGGGAUGAGUGAACUCCAGGAGGCUGCAGAACUGAGCCUCCUACCUCCUUCAGGUAAAGGAAGGGAGGCUGUGGGAGGCGGGAGGGGGAGGUGGCCAGGUAAGCC